CCAUUCAGAGGUAAUGUGUGUAGUUCUGAUAUGAAAUAAAUUACAUUCUUUGCAUUUGUUUCAGAAAGGCUUGAUGUAAAAUGCCAGUAUAUGGCAAUGUGCAUACAUAUUUGUGAUGAUCUAUAUUGAGUAUCUUUCUAUUCGUUCCACCCUCUUCACCUGGUCUGAUCUUAUGAACCUGUGUUCUCUACUGCUCUGCCCUAACCCAUCCUCCAAGGUAACAACCUGUGUUCUCUACUGCUCUGCCCUAACCCAUCCUCCAAGGUAACAACCUGUGUUCUCUACUGCUCUGCCCUAACCCAUCCUCCAAGGUAACAACCUGUGUUCUCUACUGCUCUGCCCUAACCCAUCCUCCAAGGUAACAACCUGUGUUCUCUACUGCUCUGCCCUGACCCAUCCUCCAAGGUAACAACCUGUGUUCUCUACUGCUCUGCCCUGACCCAUCCUCCAAGGUAACAACCUGUGUUCUCUACUGCUCUGCCCUAACCCAUCCUCCAAGGUAACAACCUGUGUUCUCUACUGCUCUGCCCUGACCCAUCCUCCAAGGUAACAACCUGUGUUCUCUACUGCUCUGCCCUGACCCAUCCUCCAAGGUAACAACCUGUGUUCUCUACUGCUCUGCCCUAACCCAUCCUCCAAGGUAACACCCUGUGUUCUCUACUGCUCUGCCCUGACCCAUCCUACAAGGUAACACCCUGUGUUCUCUACUGCUCUGCCCUGACCCAUCCUCCAAGGUAACACCCUGUGUUCUCUACUGCUCUGCCCUGACCCAUCCUACAAGGUAACACCCUGUGUUCUCUACUGCUCUGCCCUGACCCAUCCUCCAAGGUAACAACCUGUGUUCUCUACUGCUCUGCCCUGACCCAUCCUCCAAGGUAACAACCUGUGUUCUCUACUGCUCUGCCCUGACCCAUCCUCCAAGGUAACAACCUGUGUUCUCUACUGCUCUGCCCUGACCCAUCCUCCAAGGUAACACCCUGUGUUCUCUACUGCUCUGCCCUGACCCAUCCUCCAAGGUAACAACCUGUGUUCUCUACUGCUCUGCCCUGACCCAUCCUACAAGGUAACACCCUGUGUUCUCUACUGCUCUGCCCUGACCCAUCCUCCAAGGUAACAACCUGUGUUCUCUACUGCUCUGCCCUGACCCAUCCUCCAAGGUAACAAGAAGGGUGUCAAGAUAUAUGUCAAUCAUCUCAAUGAGGAGGGGAUCCAAAGGAGACGAGCCAAUAGGAGACAGAGGCCAUGAGAGCACAUUGGAUUGGUCGUCCAACUUGCAUGGUUCUGUACUCCACUCCCCCAUUAUCUUCUUCAACUCUGCCUGGUUGUCUCACCAGACCCUUAGUAACAGUUCCUUACCACAGGCUCUGUGUCUGCUUCUAGAUCCCACAGUUCCUCUCCUCCUUCCUCCUCCUCCUCUUCACUGGAAUCCUGCAUAUACAACAGGGCCUGUUCGUACUCUUGUCGUACAACAGUGGCCUUAGAGUGCACUUUGAGCCACAGACCUAGGUUGAGAGGAAACACCACCGAUACUCAAUGGCAUUUUCUUGAUCACACAGGCCUGCAAUUGACUGAUUGGAUAUUUGAGAGUCUCAUAGCACUUCUUCAAUACUGUGAACAGUAUUAGGUCAUUAGGUCUCACCUGCCUCACCCUCAGCAUUCUUUCACCUGCUGUCUGAACCUAAACAUCGACUACAGGAUCCACCCUCUGCACUCCAAGCUGAGAGAUGGAUGGAGGAGGAGAAAGGAUGGAUGGGGAAGAAGAGAAGGGUGUGAUGCUGUUGGAGAAGAAAGGGAUGGAGAGAAGGAUAAGAGAGAAGGCGGAACAUGGGCCUUUUGCCCAUUUGUGAUAAUACAGAGGACUGAAUAUUCUAUGAAAGAUGUUUCAUUAGUGCUCCUAACUUAUUGGCGGUGGCUGUGCUUGUAUGAAACACCUGUUGGACAAGAGCCUCUUGGCUCUACACAGUCUUAUUUCCAUCAUAAUGGCAGAUGGAAGCUGCCUCAUUAUACCCAUUAAAAGAGGCCCUACCGUGGGCAAACAGCCGAGUCCAUGCUGGGUUAGAGUACAUGAAAGUCCCAUAAUCACAGGGUCAAUAUUACUCAUUCAUCCACUAAGGGUUAAGGUUGGGAUUUGGGGACCCCUCUAAGAAAGGUAGUCAGACACCAAGACUGGAGGCCGCUGUGUAAUAGGGUGAGCUGGUGUAAAUGCAUCCGGGGGGGUGUAACACACAAAUGUAGGAGCUGGAUUUGGUGGGUACAAAACUGCACACAUGAUGACACUGUUAACAAAGGUGUGCUGAUUGGUCUAUACACUAUUAAUGGUAUGUUAGUCACCAGACAGAGUCCCAGGGGAGUGACGCAACAAACUGCUGAGACUGUCUCUCUCUUUGGUAAUUACAUGUAAUUACUCAGUAACUAAUAACUAAUUUCACACAGACUAUAGCCAGUAUCAAUUCACCAAAACUGAUCUUAUCAGCAUCAUCCUACUCAUGUUAGCCUAUCAGCAUCAUCCUACUCAUGUUAGCCUAUCAGCAUCAUCCUACUCAUGUUAGCCUAUCAGCAUCAUUAUACUCAUGUUAGCCUAUCAGCAUCAUUAUACUCAUGUUAGCCUAUCAGCAUCAUUAUACUCAUGCUAGCCUAUCAGCAUCAUUAUACUCAUGUUAGCCUAUCAGCAUCAUCCUACUCAUGUUAGCCUAUCAGCAUCAUCCUACUCAUGUUAGCCUAUCAGCACCAUCCUACUCAUGUUAGCCUAUCAGCAUCAUCCUACUCAUGUUAGCCUAAGCAUCAUCCUACUCAUGUUAGCCUAUCAGCAUCAUCAUACUCCUGUUAGCCUAUCAGCAUCAUCUUACUCAUGUUAGCAUAUCAGCAUCAUCCUACUCAUGUUAGCCUAGCUUACCUUUCUGUCUCCUCCAGAACCCUGUGUCUGAGGAGGAGGGUCCUCCCUGCUGUCACUCAUGGUUGACCACUCAGAGUCAGAUCCGAAUGUGCAGUACCUGUAAACAAAACAUGAUGUCAGAUAUUUGGUUAUUCCUAAUCUCAUUCCUAGACACUUCUGCCCAAAGUUGUUCGAAACAUUUCAUGAAAUGGUGGAGCAAAUUAAUGACUUUCUCUGGAAAACAAAUGUCAAUCUCUCUCUCUCUCUCUCUCUGACUCUUUCUGAUAAUGUAUGAGUCCUUCAUAGACAGCAUACUGUAAAUGUUUUGCAUUGUAAAUGGCCCCUAUAGACCACUAUAUAAAGGUAAACCUAUUAAGCCUCA